GCGAUCAGCAACGGUGAGAGCGAAGGCGUGGGAAGCGUCCAGUUAGAACAGCACAUGCUGCAUGAAGUCCGUAUUUCACCCUGGCAUCAGAUAAGUGGCUGGAAAUGACGCCGGCCAAAACAAAGCUGACAAAUAACAAGCAUUUAUUCUGCGCCGCUAUUUAUACAAGCCUCCAUUUGUCGUCUGCUACAGCGCCGUGUCCCCAGACGUGAUUUACCACACGAGUGGGACCGAAAGCAGCUAACAAACAUGACGCACGGCCCUGGAAAACGCAUGUAGAGAGGGAGCAGCAGCGGAGAGCAGUGGGGACGGCUAUUAAAAGCGCGGCGUUGCAUCUGGGUGCCAGAAAGUGAGCGCGAGUGAAGCAGCGCUGGGAACCUGCACCAGCGUCACACGCGUCCACGCAGGAUCUGGGCCUCGGAGCAAAGACCGGUCCCGGACCUGAACCUGAGCCGGCAGCUCAACGCGCGACCCGCUCGGCUCAGCGACGUCUGACUGGGACUUUUGCUGUUCAUUAGAGGCCGUCCCUUCAAGAACUGAGCUGACUCUUUAUUGUCUCAUUGAUUUCUACUUUGAAAUAAGUUGCACGCUUGACAGAACGGCACAGACUGAAGACUCUUUUCAGGCAGAAUUUGACAUUUUUUACACACUAAUUUGCCAAAGUCACACGGCGAUGGUGGACGCUCCCAUUACGCUAAGAUGCUGCCAAAUGUGGAGAGAUAAACAGAGACGCAGCUGUCAGAGCCCAAGCCUCGAUAUCAGAAGAAGAUAAUGAAGGGAGGAGGGGAUGGAAAGCAGCUUAGGGGAAAAGAGAGAGAGGCCACACACGGAGCUGGGUGGGAAUUCUGGGAAUGGCCUGGAAAAUGGGAUGGAGGUCCACUCAUCGGCGUCAGCAUCCAUCAGCGAUCAGCAGCGUUAACGCACAAUUCACCAGACAAGUGUUAAAUAAAAAGGAUGUUGAUUGAUUCUAGUGCCAAUAAACAAUAUGAAUAACGCCAAGGAGCCAUAAGCAAGAGAGAAAAGCUCAAGUACGAAUAUAUUUCACACUUCCACCGCUCUGUUGUGGCUGUUUCCCAUUAGUGCUGAUGACACACCGUGGAUCUGAUGAAAUACGCUCCUCUAUAAAUAAAAGCCGUUACUGUUGUUGCGCUGCAGCCUGGUGGAGGAGCGGCGGGCGCGUGACGCCGGGUAAAACGGCCAAGGGCCCAUCUGGCGCCGUGGCAGGGCCCGAGCGGCGAGAGAGAGAGAGAGAGAGAGAGAGAGAGAGAGAGAGAGAGAGAGAGAGAGGCGGGCGAGCGAGCCUUGGGCAAACAGAGAGCGAGCUUGACAUUAGCUCAUUGAUGCAGACCCUCCCAUCGCUCGCAGGUGUGGGACGCGUCGCCGUGGUGACGGAGCAUCAGCCGUGUGCGUUGGAUGGUGCACAGCAUGAACGCAUUACUGUAUAUACACGGAUGCAAAACCAAAAAAGUGGAGGUCCUUCUGUUUAAGUUCCUGCACGGGAACCAGCAGCAGGAACAGCUAAAUAAAAUUCCCUAAUUAGAAAAAGGCCUGGACGCUUUUCUCAGACUGGAUUAAUAAAAGCUGGACGGGUCAUUAUAAGAUGCAGAGGAGGCUUUUAUGCAUUCAUAAAUUAAAGCAGGUUCAUUGUUUUAAGCUGUGUCUAAGUGGAGAAGAGAAUUUGAGGAAGUUCCCUUUAAUGAUUUACAGUAGCAAGGUUAUAAAAAGAUAAAGCGCUGGAACUAUUAUUAAUA